GCGAAUGCGUGCAAUCUGACAGCGAAGGAAUGAAAGCAUUCAAGAAAAACACCCGUAAUGCAAAGAUCGACAGCUUGCAUCUGAGUCGGAACAACGUCAGGAAACUCGGAGAUGAAGGAUUAUCUACAAUCAGUGAAAUUGUUCAUCAAUGUCAGGUUGAAAAAUUGCUGAUGUGGUAUUGCUACUUCAACGAUGAUCGGUUGGAGAGAUUCAAAGCAUUGGUUGCUGAUACUGGGGUUAAAUUUCUUCGCUAGUCACAGACGCCGUAUCCAAGGAUGAUUUUAUUGGAUAAUUUGAUUUAAAAUUAUAUUAGUUCCACAUUUCUUCAGUUUGUCUGUCUGAGAUAAUCACUUUCCGUUUUGUUUCAAAAUUUUCGAGCAAUUUGUUUUUAAAUAUUUUUUUCAAUCCUGUCUAUAAUGUUUAGCAAGUAUGGUCCGUGUAUCGCAUUAUGUCUUAUGAAAAUUUCUUUUGAUUUUCAUUUAUUUCAUCAAAUAUUUCAGUCAGGGAUUCCGAAUAAUUAACUAGUUGCAUACAAUAAACAAUGGAAUAACUGCAACUCUACAACCUGGCUAUUUGACCAGACAUUUUAUGCCCACGGAUUGCCGUGUUAGACUUUUAAUGCUUUUAUAUUUUCGUGAGUAUGAAAAUACGAAUCAAAAAUUAAUUAUCAAGCAUUUUACCACACUUUUUAUGUCAACAGAUGGCCGUGAAAUUUUAGAGUAGUAGGCUGGCUAAUGCUUUUAUUUUUAACCAUGAGUUAUGUUGAACAGAGCUAAAUCAAUACGGCAAGGCAUUUUAAUGCUGGUAUCGGUCAUAGAUUUGAAUAUUUUGCUCAACAGAAAACCAUCCUAAUAAAAAGUUGAUACUUUAAAAUAUUUGCCAAAAAGCGGAAAAAGUAUGAAUUAUAUUUUCAAUAAAUCAACUUGUUUUUUCCGACUUGCGACAGACAAUUCAUUGGGUAUCGUAACAAUUGCAGCUUUACAUAAUUUUUAAAUUUUCGACGUAAUGCAAAUGAAUGUGUACCCAAACACUGUUGCUGAAGAGGCAACAAAGCAAAAAUAAUAAAAUACCAUUGAGCGCAAAACAUGGAGUAGCAACCGAAUGCUGGCUGUACGCUUGACAUAAAUGAUAUUCCCCAAUAAAUUUUCCAAUGCCAAUAAAAAUACUUUAAUAGAUGGAACCAUUUUUGAACAAAGAUGUAACAUCUCUUCCUCGAGGCUGGUUUCAAGCCGAUUUGGCCGCUUUUAUCAAAUUGGGCCCCGCA